rnacentral:rRNA from 1 species
GGUGAAAUGCGUAGAGAUCAGGAGGAAUACCGGUGGCGAAGGCGGCCCCCUGGACAAAGACUGCCGCUCAGGUGCGAAAGCGUGGGGAGCAAACAGGAUUAGAUACCAUGGUAGUCCACGCCGUAAACGAUGUCGAUUUGGAGGUUGUGCCCUUGAGGCGUGGCUUCCGGAGCUACGCGUUAAAUCGACCGCCUGGGGAGUACGGCCGCAAGGUUAAAACUCAAAUGAAUUGACGGGGGCCCGCACAAGCGGUGGAGCAUGUGGUUUAAUUCGAUGCAACGCGAAGAACCUUACCU